rnacentral:rRNA from 1 species
UGGCGGCAGGCUUAACACAUGCAAGUCGAGCGGUAACAGAGAGUAGCUUGCUACUUUGCUGACGAGCGGCGGACGGGUGAGUAACGCGUAGAAAUCUGCCUGGUAGUGGGGGAUAGCCCAGAGAAAUUUGGAUUAAUACCGCAUACGCCCUACGGGGGAAAGCAGGGGACCUUCGGGCCUUGCGCUAUCAGAUGAGUCUGCGUCGGAUUAGCUUGUUGGUGAGGUAAUGGCUCACCAAGGCGACGAUCCGUAGCUGGUCUGAGAGGAUGAUCAGCCACACUGGGACUGAGACACGGCCCAGACUCCUACGGGAGGCAGCAGUGGGGAAUAUUGCACAAUGGGCGAAAGCCUGAUGCAGCCAUGGCCGCGUGUGUGAAGAAGGCCUUAGGGUUGUAAAGCACUUUCAGCAGUGAGGAAAGGUUGUAGCUUAAUACGCUAUAGCUGUGACGUUAACUGCAGAAGAAGGACCGGCUAACUCCGUGCCAG